GGUGCCGUAGCUCAGUCAGAGCACUGGGUCCCGGGCCCAGAGGUCGACGGUUCAAAUCCGUCCGGCGCCA
rfam:Parcubacteria (Yanofskybacteria) bacterium GW2011_GWB1_45_11 TW90_C0004, whole genome shotgun sequence.